GUGGGGAAUUUUGGACAAUGGGGGCAACCCUGAUCCAGCCAUGCCGCGUGCGGGAAGAAGGCCUUCGGGUUGUAAACCGCUUUUAUUUGGGAAGAAGGAGUAGGGGCUAAUACCCUCUAUGACGGACGGUACCGGAUGAAUAAGCACCGGCUAACUACGUGCCAGCAGCCGCGGUAAUACGUAGGGUGCGAGCGUUAAUCGGAAUUACUGGGCGUAAAGCGUGCGCAGGCGGUUCUGCAAGUCAGCUGUGAAAGCCCCGGGCUUAACCUGGGAACGGCGGUUGAAACUGCAGGACUAGAAUCUGGCAGAGGGGGGUGGAAUUCCACGUGUAGCAGUGAAAUGCGUAGAGAUGUGGAGGAACACCGAUGGCGAAGGCAGCCCCCUGGGCUAAGAUUGACGCUCAGGCACGAAAGCGUGGGGAGCAAACAGGAUUAGAAACCCCUGUAGUCC
rnacentral:rRNA from 1 species